rnacentral:rRNA from 1 species
CUAAAAAGGUCGGGAGGAAGGUGGGGAUGACGUCAAAUCAUCAUGCCCCUUAUGACCUGGGCUACACACGUGCUACAAUGGGCGGUACAAAGGGUCGCGAACCCGCGAGGGGGAGCCAAUCCCAAAAAGCCGCUCUCAGUUCGGAUUGCAGGCUGCAACUCGCCUGCAUGAAGCCGGAAUCGCUAGUAAUCGCGGAUCAGCAUGCCGCGGUGAAUACGUUCCCGGGCCUU